GUUUGACCUCGGAUCAGGUAGGGAUACCCGCUGAACUUA
rnacentral:rRNA from 3 species